rnacentral:rRNA from 1 species
UACGGGGGGGGUAAGCGUUGUUCGGAAUUACUGGGCGUAAAGGGCUCGUAGGCGGCCAACUAAGUCAGACGUGAAAUCCCUCAGCUUAACUGGGGAACUGCGUCUGAUACUGGAUGGCUUGGAUUCGGGAGAGGAAUGCGGAAUUCCAGGUGUAGCGGUGAAAUGCGUAGAUAUCCGGAGGAACACCGGUGGCGAAGGCGGCUUCCUGGACCGACACUGACGCUGAGGCGCGAAAGCUAGGGGAGCAAACGGG